AACGAACGCUGGCGGCAUGCCUAACACAUGCAAGUCGAACGAGACCUUCGGGUCUAGUGGCGCACGGGUGCGUAACGCGUGGGAAUCUGCCCUUGGGUUCGGAAUAACAGUGAGAAAUUACUGCUAAUACCGGAUGAUGUCUUCGGACCAAAGAUUUAUCGCCCAGGGAUGAGCCCGCGUAGGAUUAGCUAGUUGGUGGGGUAAUGGCCUACCAAGGCGACGAUCCUUAGCUGGUCUGAGAGGAUGAUCAGCCACACUGGGACUGAGACACGGCCCAGACUCCAACGGGAGGCAGCAGUGGGGAAUAUUGGACAAUGGGCGCAAGCCUGAUCCAGCAAUGCCGCGUGAGUGAUGAAGGCCUUAGGGUUGUAAAGCUCUUUUACCCGGGAUGAUAAUGACAGUACCGGGAGAAUAAGCUCCGGCUAACUCCGU
rnacentral:rRNA from 1 species